rnacentral:lncRNA from 8 species
GUGUUUUGGAUGCCACCAAGGCCACAUUUCGUGCUGUUUGCCCAGAGGAAGAUGGAGGGUCAUGGAUGAAGAAGUGCAUCUCCUUCGGGGCAGAUGGUGCCUCCAUAAACAUGGGCCACCGUGGGGGAGUGAUUGCCCACCUGCAGAGAGAGGCAGGGGGGCAUAUAAUCCCAAUCCACUGUAUGCCACAUAGAUUAGAGCUGGCAAUACUGACCAUCCAGAAAAAAGAGCCAAAGGCAUCUGUCGUGUACGAUCUUCUGAAUCUGAUAUGGAAGACGUAUCACUUCAGCGGAAAAUCCAAACGAGAGCUCUAUGUUCUCGGACAAGAGCUCGGUGUGGAUAUUUGCACACCAUCUAGCGUCAAGGGAACUCGCUGGAUCCCCCAUGUCCACAGAGCCCUCAAAGUGUUCCUACGACAUGGACAAGACAAGGACCUUGGAUGGAUCCCCCAUGUCCACAGAGCCCUCAAAGUGUUCCUGCAGCAUGGACAAGACAAGGACCUUGGAUGGAUCCCCCAUGUCCACAGAGCCCUCAAAGUGUUCCUACGGCAUGGACAAGACAAGGACCUUGGAUGGAUCCCCCAUGUCCACAGAGCCCUCAAAGUGUUCCUGCAGCAUGGACAAGACAAGGACCUUGGAUGGAUCCCCCAUGUCCACAGAGCCCUCAAAGUGUUCCUGCAGCAUGGACAAGACAAGGACCUUGCCACUGACGAAGGCCAGUACUCCGUUGUUCUGCAGCACAUGGAGCACCUGGCAGUAGCAUCAACAACAGCGGAAGUUCAAGGGCGGGCAAAGAAGGUAAAUCGGGAAAUGGAGAAUGCACUCCUUUGUGUAUUCUGCCAUUUUCUUUCAGACAUGUUUAAAGAGCUAUCCUCACUUAGCCUCACCCUGCAAAGGAAUGACCUGAUCCUCCCCCAAGCCACAUCAGAGUUGAGGAAGACAGUGACCAGACUGGAAGCACUAAAGCUUAGGGCAAAGGCAGGAGGCAUACUGGAGAAGAUCCAGACCAUGCUUGCUCAGCAGCAGGGUGAUGAGAGGAGAUUCCAGGGAAUAACACUGAAGGGGGAUCUGAAAGGCUUCACGGACCUCACCAAUCCCCAGCUGAAGCAGCAUAUUGAGGCGGCCAUCAACAUCGGCGUGGAUGAUUUCAAAGCCAGGUUUGGUGGUUUGCUGAAGGAUGAGGGCGUCCAGAUCCCAGUGGAGUCUUUCAGAGUGCUAAACCCUGACACAUGGCCAGAAGACCAGGCCAGCCUUCUCACCUUUGGCGAUGAUGGUGUGGCAGACCUGAUGAGGAAUUUCAAGGAGCCUCUAGAGAGAUCGGGGUGCAACAUGGCUGCAAUCCAGGAUGAGUGGCAGGGGCUGAAAAUCCUGGUCAGCCACAAUUUCAAGGACAAGUCCUACAGUGGCUUGUGGGAGACCAUAUUGACAAAGGACCACUACAUGCACGAUUACAAGAACAUACUGGAGUUGGUGCAGCUUAUGCUGGUGCUGCCCAUUUCAGCCGCCCAGUGUUAAUGGUAAGAGUUUAAAUGAACCGGAUUAAGAAUUCAACAAGAAGCUGCCUUGGGGUCUCCACCACCGAAGACCUGAUGAGGAUCAGCCUGGAGGGGCCUUCUGUCGAGGAGUUCGAUCCCACUCCUGCCGUGGACCGCUGGCUGACCUCUAAGCGUGCCAGACGGCCAACAUACAAAAGCAGCUGGAAAACUGAUAUCCUUUACGUCUAGUAGGCUUUGGUCAAUGUGUGAUUUUGGUGGUAUGUGCUGUUCCACAGAUGUGUGUCCCUUAGUACACGCACACACACUCACACACGCAGUAUAAAUAUGUAUGUAAUAAAUUGUUUGUUAAUAAAUUCUGUUCCAUUUUUCACUGUGCUCCUAAAUUUCUUUGGGUGCUCCUACAUUUUUUUCAUUUAGGAGCACAUGUACUCCUUGGGAAAAAAGUUAGCGUAGAGCACUGUGCUGCUACCCCUCUCUCUGCCCUACGGGUGAUCAAAGAUGUAUUUGAACAGAGCCAUGAACCCCUCAUAUGAAUCUAGCUCCUCUCCCAGACAGCAGUGGCCCAUUCCAACACCCGCCCAAUCAGCAGAGAAAUAACCGUGGGAAACUUGGACCUCUCGGUGGUGGGGGGCUCCCAUCUGGUGCGAGAAGUAGAGGGAGCACUGAAGAAGGAAGCCACGGCAUUUAGAUGGGGUUCUGUAAUAUUUAUCCGGGAGGCAACGAACCUCUUCCAUAGCCAUCCCCAGUUGUGCCAGCUUGUCAUGGUGAUGACGAGCAGGGGCUCGUCGACCAUCUGGGAGAUAUUUUGUUUUCCUGCUGCCUCCAUUGUUGGAGUCAGUAUUCUGUAACGGAAAACAACAGCUGGAAAAUGAGUCGGAAGCACAGUAGCAUUUGGAUGCAUUUUAAUAAUGCAUCCAAUAAUAUUACAACACAGUGUAGAAUUUGCCAAAACAAAAUCUCAUAUAAAGCCGGUUCUAAGCAAAACCUACACCGGCAUAUACAAACUGUGCACCCAACUGUGAAGCUAGCUGUAGCGGAGCUUCAAGAAACUAGUGGGCUUGCUAGUGAUAGUGGUGGAGCCAGCACCUCCACACGUGGAGAUGUAUCCACUCAGUCAAGUAGGCCUACUCCACGACCCACAGCAACGCAAUCUUCUAUGGACCAGUUUAUGCCAAAGUCUGUGUCUGUAGCAAAACAAGGCCAAAUUGAUAUUGCAUUGGCUAAAAUGAUUGCCACCGAUGUCUAGCCAUUUUCGAUCGUGUAGGACAGAGGUCUUAGAAAUGAUAGCAAUAGUCUAAAUCCAAUGUACACAAUUCCAAGCAGGAAAACACUUUCAAAAUCACUUAUUCCACAACUGUACAAGAGCUCACAGGCUUCAGUGCGGGAAAGAGUUCAAAAAGCUAUUGCAGUUUGCCUUACCACUGACUGCUGGACAUCAAGGGUAACCACUUCUUACAUGUCGGUUACAUGUCACUUCAUUGAAGAUUUUUUGAUGUCUAGUUGUCUUCUGGACUGCUUUGAGUUCAGCGACAGACACACCUCAGAGAACUUGGCAGAGGAACUGUUGAGAGUGGCCAGAGAAUGGCAAGUAGAUGGAAAAGCGGUCUGUUGUGUUAGUGACAAUGCAGCUAACAUAACCAAAGCCAUGAAAAUGUUCAAAUGGACCCAUCAUCCAUGUCUUGCCCACACAAUCAACCUGAUUGUAAGAGAUGCUCUGAAGGCGAUGAAGCCCACUGUGGACAAAGGGAAAUCAGCUGUGGAAUACUUCCACAGGAGCACAGUAGGUGCUGAAAACUAAAGUCUACACAACGCCAGAUGGGGAUGCCUGAGCUGAGGCCUAAACAAAACUGCACUACAAGGUGGAAUUCAACAUUUUAUAUGUUGCAGCGGUUUCUUGAGUCAAAGGAUGCCGUCAUCUCUACCCUGGCCAUUGUCAAUGCACCUGUUGAUGCUCUGACCCAAGAGGAAUGGGAGUUGGUGGAGGAGAUGUGCAGAGUCCUGGAACCCUUCGAGCAGAUCACUGUGGAGAUCAGUGGAGAGAGGUACAGUAAGCAGUUAUUACUACAUCAUUAUUAUAUAUGUAUAUGAGCAGUAGAUGAGAAUGUAGUAUUAGUAGACAAAACAUGAACCUGAACUAAUAAGUUACUGUUCUCUGUUUUCAGCUAUGUGACAGCCUUAGAAAUGAUACUCCUGUGUAAGGGUCUGCAGCGAAUCAUAGCCAGCCGCCAGAGAGAAGCAAAUGUAACCACAAGACAUGUGACAGAGUUGAUGAGAGAAGAAACCGCAUCAGCCCCUCGAAAGUGAGGCAGCUUGCAUUUCUGAAUGCAAAUCUCUCAUAAAAAGCAAAAUAUGGUCAGCAUUGCUGUGUGCUGCUGGUUAUAACAUGGCAAUAAAGAAGAGAGAGAAAAGAGGUACCAGUUUAAUGUUAAAAGUGGGAUGCUGCAGUUUUGCACAUUGUUAUUUAUUUUUAUUUGAUAUGGUGCAAUAUUUGAUUAUUAUGUUGUUCAGAUUGUAUGCGUUUUGAAUUGUUACAUUUCUAUGCACUUUAUAUACAUUUAUAUACAUACGUUUAUAUACAUUAAAAAAGUUAUACUUUAAAUGCACAUGUGUAAUAGCAUCCUUCUUUUUUACAUUUAUUUCAAUUUGUGGGAUGCUGCAGUUUUUCAAAUUAUUUAUUUUUCUUUGAUAUGGUGCAAUAUUCAAUUAUGCGGUUCAGAUUGUAUUUGUUUUGAAUGGUUAGAUUUAUAUGCACUUUGUUUAUAUACAUAAAAAGUUAUACUUUAAAUGCAAAUGUUUAAUAGCAUUCUUUUUCAUAAUUUAAUUAGAAUUGUUUUAACACCAAUCACACCAAACUAUCGCAAACUGUUUGACUUGAAAAAAUACAAAACAUAUAUUUUUUAAAGAGACGUUUGGGAGCC